GAAAAGGCCCCACAAGCUCAUCUUUGAUGAUACCAGCCCAAACCAGUACUCCACCUCCACCUUGCUGGCGUCUGAGUCGGACUGGAGCUCUCUGCCCUUUACCAAUCCAGCCACGGGCCCAUCCAUCUGGCCCAUCAAGACUCACUCUCAUUUCAUCAGUCCAUAAAACCUUAGAAAAAUCAGUCUUGAGAUAUUUCCUGGCCCAGUCUUGACGUUUCAGCUUGUGUGUCUUGUUCAGUGGUGGUCGUCUUUCAGCC